UUAUGAAUCAUUAGGUUUUAGUAUUUCAUAGUUUAUGUAGUAACUUACUACCGUUUAUAAUAUAAGAUUUAUUUCGAAAUUUUACCAUGUUAUACAUAUUUACAAUUCACAACUUAAGAUCUAAACGUUUACAGAUAACUUCCUGUAUAUAUCAUGUCCGCGUGGAAUAGCGCUAUGUCGAUAUAUUACUAUGUAGAUUAUAUUGAAAAUAUAAAUAAACUUUUCGAAAAUCAUAAUUUGAAAUUUUUGAAUUAGUGGAGCGCCUGGGGAUUUUGACCUACGAUCUCUGGGGGUUGAAUAAAUUUAACCAAUGGGAUUUAGUUUUCUAUACUCGAAAUUACAACUUCUAUCAAAAUUAUAUUGUGAGAUUGAUUUUUAGUCGUUUAAAAAAAUGGUAAAUUAAUAUAGCAGCAUAAUAUUUUCUUUAAAGUCAUGUUUUUUUAAAGAUAUUUUUUUUAUGUCACUAGGUCGGCAAACAAGCGUACGGCUCACCUGAUGGUAAGCGAUUACCGUAGCUUAUAGACACCUGCAACAUCAGAAGCAUCGCAAGCACG
rnacentral:misc_RNA from 1 species